GAGAAGCUUCGACUAAGGUUCGACUCGAGCGAAGCGAGAGAACGUUGCCGCAGGCAAUGGCCCGAAGGCGAGGCGCUUUAGCGCCGA
rnacentral:sRNA from 1 species